CAUCCCUGUGGCCUCACUUCCUCUGAGCUAUGGGGUGUUCCUGUCUUGCAGCCUCCCUUCAACCCUGCCCCUGGGGGUGCUCGGACCUGGCUGUGGACCUGUGCUCCAGGAAUUACCUGAAACGCGGAAGAAUCUUAAAAAGAUUGACUUCACUGGAAAGCAUGAAGCGGUACCUCUACAGUCCAAAGAAGUGUUGGUUAUCAGAAGAAAAUGUGUACUUUUGGAGUGGCCUAAUUGACGAGUCCAGCAAUUUUCUGUGAAGUGUUGACAGCGAGCAGACCUUUGUUUGCAGAGAAAAAGAUGCGAUCAUCAGUACAUUGCAGAGGCCCGGCACUCACAGUCCCCUAUUAGCUUUGUGCAUUACUGACCUCCACAGGCAUUUCAGGGGAAGACACAGCAGGAAGAG